rnacentral:rRNA from 1 species
UACGGAAGGUGCGAGCGUUGUUCGGAGUGAUUGGGCGUAAAGCGCACGUAGGCGGGUUUGUAAGUCGGUUGUGAAAUCCCUGGCUCAACCCAGGAGGGUCAUCCGAGACUGCAGAUCUUGAAUGCCUGAGAGGUUAGUGGAAUUCCUGGUGUAGGAGUGGAAUGCGUAGAGAUCCGGAAGAACACCGGUGGCGAAGGCGGUCUGCUGGGCAGUAGCUGACACUGAGGCGCGACAGCGUGGGGAGCAAACAGG